CAGUCGCCACGGGAAUACGAAGGGUGCAAGCGUUACUCGGAAUUACUGGGCGUAAAGCGUGCGUAGGUGGUGGUUUAAGUCCGUUGUGAAAGCCCUGGGCUCAACCUGGGAAUUGCAGUGGAUACUGGGUCACUAGAGUGUGGUAGAGGAUAGUGGAAUUUCCGGUGUAGCAGUGAAAUGCGUAGAGAUCGGAAGGAACAUCUGUGGCGAAGGCGACUAUCUGGGCCAACACUGACACUGAGGCACGAAAGCGUGGGGAGCAAACAGGAUUAGAUACCCGAGUAGUCCCUGUCUCUUAUAA
rnacentral:rRNA from 1 species